UCGACCUUACAGCUUCUAACAUGCCGGAAAACGGAAGAUCAAGAGACCAAGUGUAAAUAUCUGUUUUUAAGUUGGUCUUCAGAGAUAUCAUUGACAUUGUGUAGAAUGAUCCAGCCAAUCCAGCGUAGCGGUAUGUAGCCCAAAACCUUGACUGAUUAAUGGAAUCCAACAAGCUCCAAACCGUUAUGCGUGAGUAAUGUUCAUGUCCUGUGAUAGUUAAUGUGAGAUUUGACUUGGUGCAAAUAGAUCUUCCCUAACCCUUUCUUACAAACAAACUGUAAUUUAGUUUGCUCUAAUCGCUUGAAUGAUGAUCUGGACAGCAUAUUGACCUAUCAGAUCAAUGACGCUUUUAUUUCCUCAUUACUUUGCUAGAGGAAUAGUUGAUCAUUGUCUUAAUGUUUGCCAAGGAAACACAAUCACAGUGUCUGGCUGACAGUUUCAAGCGGCCUUCAAGUCUUCAGCUGAACAUUAUAUGUAAAGAACGUUAUUUGUUAGUUUGCUCUGAAAGAAAGUAUAUUUAUUAAACAUAAUCCAUGAAGGCAGAAGAGUGUUUUGCCAUAGACACUACCAAAGGUCAGUAUCAUAAAGGUCCCUCAUCCACCUGUCAGGCUGACUUCACUCAUCUUUAACACUAUGAGGUGUUGUUUUGGCCAACGUCCACUCUUUCCAAAACACUUGGCGUAUAUAACACAAUAAGCCACAAGGCAUGGGUGUAAGAGGGGGGACAUGCUUCAUACAACAUGGCCCAUUUAAUCUCAGACUGAGACACGUGAAGUUACUGCAGCGUUUAGUUGUUCAUUCAGUAGUAGCUGCAGAGGUUAUAUUGCACAUUCACAAGGAUAGUUUGCCCACAGGAAUGGGAUUAAAGAUAAAAAAAUGCUUUUGCUGUUCUGUUUAUUGGCAUUAACCGGUCAAGGACAAGGUAAAGUAUUGAACAUUCUGUUUGAUUUACUGUUGAAUGUAUUUGGCUUUAUCAUGUACAGUGCGUUAUAGCAGGUUACACUUAAUACAGCUGCUACUGGUGUGCAUGAUUUGAGGUGUCUGUGAAAGCACUACAUUUAACUCAUAGGGAGACUUGUAGACAAAUUGACAUGUGCAUUUGAUUGUUUCUUUCUGAUGUUCUGAGCGUUUCAUGAAGCGUUGCAGACAGACAUAGCCAUCUCAUAGUAGUUGCACACAGACAUCCAUCAUACGGACAGACAUAUCCGUCAUACAGAAAUGUCCAUCAUACAGACAUAUCCAUCAUACAGACAUUUCCAUCAUACAGAAAUAUCCGUCAUACAGACAUAUCCAUCAUGCAGAAAUAUCCAUCAUACAUACAUAUCCAUUCUGAUUACUACCAAGGGAUUCCUGAAACUGAUGUACAACGUUCAGGUGUCAGUGCCGCUACAGUGGAGGACCUAGGGAGAGUUGGAGACCAGAUCAACCCCCCCAGACACCAUGACAGACUGUGUGACUGGAGGAGGAGAGAGGGUUUGAGUGGAAGCUGCCUCUGCCAGGACUCUGCCAAAUCCUACCGCAAGCUCAGGAAGGCCUUUGUGGCAAUGUGCGUAAGGAAAGGAUUCAAGAAUCAGUGGAAAUGCCAGAAGAUCAUGGAAAGGGUAGAGAGGUCAAAGGGUGACCAAGGCAAACACUUCAUGAGUAUUCCAAUAUGAAGAGUUGACCUUUAAUAACUACUUUAUAAACUUUGAAACCGUGUUUUGUAAUCUCUCUCAAGAACAUGACUCGUUUUUGAAUAAAAAUGUAUUUUAUAAUUAUU